CAGCAGCCGCGGUAAUACGUAGGGUGCGAGCGUUAAUCGGAAUUACUGGGCGUAAAGCGUGCGCAGGCGGCUUUGCAAGACAGAGGUGAAAUCCCCGGGCUCAACCUGGGAACUGCCUUUGUGACUGCAAGGCUAGAGUACGGCAGAGGGGGAUGGAAUUCCGCGUGUAGCAGUGAAAUGCGUAGAUAUGCGGAGGAACACCGAUGGCGAAGGCAAUCCCCUGGGCCUGUACUGACGCUCAUGCACGAAAGCGUGGGGAGCAAACAGGAUUAGAUACCCUGGUAGUCCACGCCCUAAACGAUGUCAACUGGUUGUUGGACGGCUUGCUGUUCAGUAACGAAGCUAACGCGUGAAGUGACCGCCUGGGGAGUACGGCCGCAAAGGUUGAAAACUCAAAUAAAUUGACGG
rnacentral:rRNA from 1 species